CCUACGGGGGGCAGCAGUGGGGAAUAUUGCACAAUGGGGGAAACCCUGAUGCAGCGACGCCGCGUGAGUGAAGAAGUAUUUCGGUAUGUAAAGCUCUAUCAGCAGGAACGAGACAAGACGGUACCUGACUAAGAAGCCCCGGCUAACUACGUGCCAGCAGCCGCGGUAAUACGUAGGGGGCAAGCGUUAUCCGGAAUCACUGGGUGUAAAGGGAGCGUAGACGGCUGUGCAAGCCUGAAGUGAAAGGCGGGGGACCAACCCCUGGACUGCUUUAGGAACUGUACGGCUGGAGUGCAGGAGAGGUAAGUGGAAUUCCUAGUGUAGCGGUGAAAUGCGUAGAUAUUAGGAGGAACACCAGUGGCGAAGGCGGCUUACUGGACUGUAACUGACGUUGAGGCUCGAAAGCGUGGGGAGCAAACAGGAUUAGAUACCCGUGUAGUC
rnacentral:rRNA from 1 species